UACGGAGGGUGCGAGCGUUGUUCGGAAUCACUGGGCGUAAAGGGCGCGUAGGCGGUCUUAUAAGUCAGAUGUGAAAGCCCACGGCUUAACCGUGGAAGAGCAUUUGAAACUGCAAGACUUGAGUACCAGAGGGGAAAGUGGAAUUCCCGGUGUAGAGGUGAAAUUCGUAGAUAUCGGGAGGAAUACCGGUGGCGAAGGCGACUUUCUGGCUGGAUACUGACGCUGAGGCGCGAAAGCGUGGGGAGCAAACAGG
rnacentral:rRNA from 1 species